AUUGAACGCUGGCGGCAGGCCUAACACAUGCAAGUCGAGCGGAAGAAGGGAGCUUGCUCCUGGAUUCAGCGGCGGACGGGUGAGUAAUGCCUAGGAAUCUGCCUGGUAGUGGGGGAUAACGUCCGGAAACGGGCGCUAAUACCGCAUACGUCCUGAGGGAGAAAGUGGGGGAUCUUCGGACCUCACGCUAUCAGAUGAGCCUAGGUCGGAUUAGCUAGUUGGUGGGGUAAAGGCCUACCAAGGCAACGAUCCGUAACUGGUCUGAGUGGAUGACCAGUCACACUGGAACUGAGACAGGGUCCAGACUCCUACGGGAGGCAGCAGUGGGGAAUAUUGGACAAUGGGCGAAAGCCUAAUCCAGCCAUGCCGCGUGUGUGAAGAAGGUCUUCGGAUUGUAAAGCACUUUAAGUUGGGAGGAAGGGCAGUAAGUUAAUACCUUGCUGUUUUGACGUUACCAACAGAAUAAGCACCGGCUAACUUCGU
rnacentral:rRNA from 1 species